rnacentral:lncRNA from 1 species
GUGCAGUUUGUCCGCUGGACUUGAUCAAGACACUGUCAACAGAAGCAGCAAAGAAGCAAAACCGAGUAGGAAGGAUGUUCCACGAUGCCUCGGUUUCACAGUCAAACAAAGGACAGGAAGAAGAGCUCAGUGAAUAGAUUCCCAUCAAGUUUGCAAAGUCUUGGCCUUACGUGAUGCAGUAAUGAGACAGGGUGAUUUAGACAGCUGACAUCCACGAUGCUAGCCUGGUGCCUCCUUGGAGUUUGUUUUUACUCUGGUCUCUUUCAAGGCUCCUAGAUCUUUUUGGUAUUAUGUGGGGAGGUUCUGUCAGGCGAUGGCUAAAUUAACUCUUGAUGAAAAUGCAUAGUAGGAGAAUUGAGCACAAGCUGUGUUCUCAACGGCAGAUCUUUCUGAUCUUGAACAAGAAAGCCCUGGCUUCUUCUGGGCUAGCCUGCCUUUGCUCACUACACACAGUUCCAGAAGCUAGUGACAGUCAUGAUUUCUUCCUUGAGCCAAGCCAUCAACAUAUAUAUGAAGGAGAGGCCUCUUGGCACCAAUCAGUAAGUCCAGUGGGAUGUGGUGUCAUGUGACUACAAUACCAGCACUGGAGAGAUGGAGACAAAAGGAUCAGGAGUUCAACCUCAUGUAGCUUCAGAUGGGAGCAGAGGCAGUUGAACACAUGGUGCAGAUCCAGCUUAUGUUAUCGAUGCUCAAAAAGUGGACAUCUCUACUUCCAUCUGUUUAUGCAGAGAGCUGAAUAAAAGCCUUCAUCUGAAAAGCAUCUCUCCACCGGUAUGUGAAAUUAUAGUUUUUCCCAAGUGAGGUGACAUGUAUUUCCUCAAAUAAUG